rnacentral:rRNA from 1 species
GAUGAACGCUAGCGGCAGGCUUAACACAUGCAAGUCGUGGGGCAGCGCGGGGUAGCAAUACUCUGGCGGCGACCGGCAAACGGGUGCGGAACACGUACGCAACCUUCCUCAGAGCGGGGAAUAGCCUCUCGAAAGAGAGAUUAAUACCCCAUAGUAUCGUACAAGGGCAUCUGAGUACGAUUAAAGCUCCGGCACUUUGAGAUGGGCGUGCGGCUGAUUAGGUAGUUGGUAGGGUAACGGCCUACCAAGCCGACGAUCAGUAGCUGAUGUGAGAGCAUGAUCAGCCACACGGGCACUGAGACACGGGCCCGACUCCUACGGGAGGCAGCAGUGAGGAAUAUUGGUCAAUGGAGGCAACUCUGAACCAGCCAUGCCGCGUGAAGGAUGAAGGUCCUCUGGAUUGUAAACUUCUUUUAUAGAAGAAGAAACCCCGGUAUUCUUACCGGGUUGACGGUACUCUAUGAAUAAGCACCGGCUAACUCCGUG